GUCUUAAAGAAAUUAAUUUUAAGUCUAAUCUGCCCAAUGAAAAUUUAAAUGGCUGCAGAAUUUAUAACUGUACAAAGGUAGCAUAAUAAUUUGUUUUUUAAUUAAAAACUUGAAUGAAAGAUAUCAUAAAAUAUAAACUGUUUCCAAAUAAAAAAAUUAAAACUUUUUAUUUAAGUAAAAAAACUUAAAUAUAUUUAAAAGACGAACCAAGACCCUAUAGAAUUUAAAUUAAAAUUUUAAUUUAAUUUUAAAAUUAUAUUAUUAUAUUAAAAUAUUAAUUUUAAUUGGGGUAAUUAAUAAAUUUAAUUAAUUUUAUUAAAAGUUAAACAAAAAAUAAUUGAAUAAAUUAUCUAAUAAUAUUAAAUAAAAAAUUAAUUACCUUAGGGAUAACAGGCAUAAUUUUUUUUUAAAGAUCUUAUUAAUUAAAAAACGAUUAU
rnacentral:rRNA from 1 species